AGUUUACAACUCCCAAACCCAAUGUGAACGUUACCAAACUGUUGCCUCGGCGGGAACUCAUGCCCCGGGUGCGUCGCAGCCCCGGACCAAGGCGCCCGCCGGAGGACCAACCAAAACUCUUUUUGUAUACCCCCUCGCGGGUUUUUUAUAAUCUGAGCCUUCUCGGCGCCUCUCGUAGGCGUUUCGAAAAUGAAUCAAAACUUUCAACAACGGAUCUCUUGGUUCUGGCAUCGAUGAAGAACGCAGCGAAAUGCGAUAAGUAAUGUGAAUUGCAGAAUUCAGUGAAUCAUCGAAUCUUUGAACGCACAUUGCGCCCGCCAGUAUUCUGGCGGGCAUGCCUGUCCGAGCGUCAUUUCAACCCUCGAACCCCUCCGGGGGGUCGGCGUUGGGGAUCGGCCCUCCUCUUGCGGGGGCCGUCUCCGAAAUACAGUGGCGGUCUCGCCGCAGCCUCUCCUGCGCAGUAGUUUGCACACUCGCAUCGGGAGCGCGGCGCGUCCACAGCCGUUAAACACCCAACUUCUGAAAUGUUGACCUCGGAUCAGGUAGGAAUACCCGCUGAACUUAAGCAUAUCAAUAAGCGGAGGAAAAGAAACCAACCAAUUUUA
rnacentral:rRNA from 1 species